GAUGAUGAAAGGCAUGUAGAGUUUGAGCUCACUCCCAGCAGGGAAGACCAGUUUGAGUUUUUUUCCUGCUUCUAGGGUGGUAGAAAGCAGCCUUCAGCCUGAGACCCAUCCCUAGAAGAGAAAGAAAAGAAGGAAAGAAAGCAAGCAAGCAAGAAAGCAAGCAAGCAAGAAAGAAAGAAAGAAAGAAAGAAAGAAAGAAAGAAAGAAAGAAAGAAAGAAAGAAAGAAAAGAAAAAGAAAGAAAAGAAGAGCCUUAAGGUCAACCUACAAACUACAGAGUUCCUAAGUUCUCUUUUUUCUCUAUUUUCUUUUCUGCCUGCUUUAAAUCUGCUGUUAUUUUUCUAUUAAGAUCAAAACCACUGUUUGGAUACAACAGGCUUUUUGUUUGCAACCUGGUGAAUUUGUAUUUGUCUCAUGGCUAAAGUUCUGAAGUAAAAGCUAUAGGAUUUCUGUGUGUGUGUUUGUGUGUGUGUGUGUGUGUGUGUGUGUAUCUAUUUAAAAGGCCUUUAUAAUUUUUAUAAUUUUAUGUUUAAUUGGCAAUUAAAUCCAUUUUGACUUCCCUCUAGCACCACCAGACUUUUUCUCUCUGUACCUUAUGAUAUAAUUUUGCUAUUUGAUUUUUGCCUGAGUUGUUUCCUUUAACAUGCAAACUUAAGGCUAUUUAGCUGACAACUCCCUAGGGGAGUAAAACAGGUUAUUAAGAAUUUGAAAGCCUAAGAUAGGGGAAAAAAGCUCCUUAAGUAUCUAUACGAUGUACUUCUAUCAGCAUGCCUACUAUGUCUAUAUAUUUAUGUGAUGUGUACACAAUUUCUCGCUACUGAAAAUAUAUAAAAGAGUUCUAAUUAAUUGGCUUAAGAUAAAAAGCACUUGAAUCUAAUACUUUAUCAGGAAAAAAGAAAAGACUAGUUGAAUGCUUUCUGAAGUUUAUGUAACAAGUAAAAUCUUUAAUAAAUAAGCUAGCUUUAAAAUUAUUGGUAAAGUAAUAUUAGACAUGUCUUAAAAAUUGCCAGCAUGCAUUUUUGUUUGCAUUUAUUAAUCAAGCAAUUUCAUGCUUAUCCCUGUCAAAUACCAUAAGGUGUCAAAAUUUGCCAUGGAGUUACAAAACUGUAAUAGAAUGAUCUUUGCUUGUAUAAUCUUUAAUAAAUAAGACAUUGAUAUUGGUUUAAUAAAAAUAGUCACAUCUUGAAUUUAGUGAGAUUACUGUAACUUCUAAUUUUGUGGUUUUGGUGGUCUAGUCCACAGGCAGUAAGAUUUAGUUUGAGAAUGAACUGUUAUAAUCUUUGUUUCAAAGGUAAACUAUAAACUAUGUUCCUCUCAACGUCUGUUCAGCCUGUGCCCAGGAUUGAACAAGAACAGUUUGGAGGUUAGAAGCAAGAUGGAGUCAAUUAGGUCAGAUCUUUUUCACUGUCUCAGUUAUAAUUUUGCAAUGGCAGUUCCAUAACUUUAAAUGAUGACUAUUGCAGUUUUCAUAAAUAAUCUAGGUAAACAAUUCCUUUUUAAAAAGGUGAACAAUUGUCAUCUAAUUCAAUGCUUAUUUAAAGAUUAUGUAUAAGACAAGUUAAAAGGAACCAGGAAAUCAGAGAGAUGUAAAGAAAGGUAUAAAAAUAAAGAGGAUAAAGAGGGUUCUUUUUGGUAAGGAAGCUUAAAGAGAAAUAAUUUCAUAUGAGAAAAGAUCUUGUAUGGUAAAUUUAGACCUAAAAUAAAAUGAUUGUUUAAGAAAGAUGGAUGUUCAAAACAAACCAGAAAGUCCAAGCAUAUCAUGAACAGUCUGUAAAAGUCAUAAUAAGAGGAUUAAAAAAAAAACCAACAAACUUUUAUAUGGUCAAGUUGUCUGUAAUUAAAAGGAAAUUAUAAUAGUCUUCCUGAAGAUUGGGCUUCAUGUAAAAAAAAAAAAGCAAUGAUAAACAAAAUAGUUAGAGCGAUGAAAUUUUCUUAAGGGAUUGAUUUACUCUUAUUAAAUUAUAAGAGAUUUUAAUUUUUUUAACCCAAAGUUCAACUGUUUACUCGCUGUUUUCUCUCCCCUUCAACUCGUUUGCAGCUCAUAUAAGUUAUUUUCCUUAAAUUCUAUUUGUUAUGGUCUGAUGCUAACAAUGUUUUCUAAAAGUCUAAAGAAAAUGUUUUCUUCCAAAGUAAUAUUCUGUGCAGUGUAGAAGGUCUUUUCUUUUGCCUUUGGGUAAUUGACCUAACAGAUUUUAUGGCUUAUUGAAACAAUGCUAUGCUGUUAUUAUUAAUUUUUGAUUUGCUCAGGAAAAAGUAUCUGAGAUAAUUUUUUAAAAUUAAGGUUAUUACAUCCAUGUAUAUUUCUGUAGGUGCUUUGAAAGUACCUGUGACAUUAAGUUACAGGCCUUUGACUCCUGGGUCUAAAAAGGACACCAAGGUCUGCUAAAUCUUAAGCACUGACAGCAAUUAAAACCUCAUCUUCAGGCCUGGUAGAAGAUGCCAAUCAAAAUAAACUGCAUUCCUGAGACAUAAGGCCAGAAGUAAAAGCUAUUCAACUCCUCAAGGCUCAGGAACUACCACAGAAGAGGUCUUCAAAAGAUUGUUUUCAGUUUUUUUUUCUUCUUCUUUCCCCCAUUUUUCCUAAUUUGGAGUCACUGAAAACUCAUCUGUGCUUUUGUAAAGCCCUGCGAACUGGAGCUAGAGAAUUUAAACUUCAGAAGAAAAUACCAGCAACCUGUUUACAUACAUAAGCCACUUUCAUACCUGCCUACUGAUGUAUGGACUUCAGAGUAAUGUGGCCCAUAUUGAUUUUCCAGGAUUGUUCUUUUGUUUAUUUUUGUUUUUCUCCCUUCCUCCCCCUAUUUUCUCUUCAUAGGACAUGAAACUUCACAACCUGCUAAAAAUGAACUUUCCUAAUAACUCAGGAAUUAUCUUUCUAGGAAUAAACAAUCCUAGCCAUGAGAUAUCAGAUGAAACUUGAGACCAAAGACUGACUUUCUUCAAAAAGGCUUUCUCAAAAAGAUUUUUAAGAAAAGGGGGGAAAUUUGAAAGGAAAAUAAACCUUGGGGCCCUGAAAUCACUAAGGUAAAGGGGAAAGUCAAGCUGGGAACUGCUUAGGGCAAACCUGCCUCCCAUUCUAUUCACAGUCACCCCUCUGCUCACUGAGUUAAAUGCAUAUCUGAUUGCCUCCUUUGGAAAGGCUAAUCAGAAACUCUAAAGAAAGCAACCAUUUGUCUCUUAUCUACCUAUGACCUGGAAGCCCCUCCCCGCUUAGACUUGUCCCGCCUUUUCCGGACGGAACCACUGUUCAUCUUACAUAUGUUGAUUGAUGUCUCAUGUCUCCCUAAAAUGUAUAAAACCAAGCUGUGCUCUGACCACUUUGGGCACAUGUCUUCAGAACCUCCUGAGGCUGUGUCACAGGUGUACAUCCCCAACCUUGGCAAAAUAAACUUUCUAAAUAAACUGAGACCUGUCUCCGAUUUUGGGGGUUCACAAGGCCAUACUGACUUGUCCCCUGUGUGAAGCCCAGCAGGAUCCUUUCACAGCAAGCUCUUUUCACUUGAACCUUUGUGCAUCAGUGCCUAACUCUUUCACAAGAUAAGGGGUCCUACAGAAUCGAAGCAGACCCACCAGAGGGUUACAAGUUCCUGAUACCUAGUACAACCUGGGAAAGAGAGCAAAAGCCCUUUAUUCCUGAUGCAGCUUCCCCAAUCUCUAGCCAAUUUGCACCAAAAGCCCAAGAAACUCCUAACUACAAAUUCCUUCCUGGGGUGGGGUGUUUGGGAGGGUGGGCAGGGACUUCUCUGGGGUCCUGCAUGCACAGCUAGGAUCAAGGUUCAGCUUAUAGUAACCAUUUCCUCAUUUUAAUAGUAAAAACAACCACAACAAGAAAAACACCCCAAGGCGGAGAUUUCAUAUGCUAAUGAUACAUGCGAUGGGUGUUAGACCACGUGGAUCCUGAGCACAUGUGCCAACCGCAGGUCUGCCUUUGCAUACUUGACCUCACCAGUAUUUUAUGAUUAUGUACGUAUAGCUCCCAUAAAAGGAAUUCCUCUUACAGCACUAGCUGCUGUCUCUCCCACUGAGCACCCCACUCUGCCUCUCAAAGAGUACUUUUGCUUUGCAACAAAUUUCUUCGCUUACUCUUACUUUGGAUUUGCUCUCAAAUUCUUUUGCACAGCAAAUUCAAGAACCUGAACUGGUCCACCGACAACAAAAUAACAAAAUUCCCUUAUAUAACAUUUGGAGUCUGCCUUAACUGAUUUGAAUCAAGAUGGAAUGCAGUAGGAUGAGAUGUGCCUUUUAAAUUUGACACAGAAGAGUGAGGAGUAUUACCAUGAUAUCAUAAGUUCUAAAAUCAUGGAUGAACUUACAAACAACAAUACUGGGGCUUUACCUAUCCCAAAGCAUUCCAUAUAUCAAAUUGAAACAAUCAAAAGCUUCUAUUUUAUUUUAGUUUAUGCGUGACAUUGGAGCAGUUUGGCACUAUGAGUUCAUCCCUGAAGUCUUACUUUGGAAUCAUGCUUUGAGAAUCCCCUUCUACUGCAUUCCCACCUCACCCCCAUGAAUCAGUAAACUCAGUGAAAAUUAUCACAAAAA
rnacentral:lncRNA from 1 species